rnacentral:rRNA from 1 species
UACAGAGGUCCCAAGCGUUGUUCGGAUUCACUGGGCGUAAAGGGUGCGUAGGCGGUCGGGUAAGUCUGACGUGAAAUCUCCAAGCUCAACUUGGAAAUGGCGUCGGAUACUAUUCGGCUCGAGGAAUGGAGGGGAGACUGGAAUUCUCGGUGUAGCAGUGAAAUGCGUAGAUAUCGAGAGGAACACCAGUGGCGAAGGCGAGUCUCUGGACAUUUCCUGACGCUGAGGCACGAAAGCCAGGGGAGCAAACGGGG